CCUACGGGUGGCAGCAGUGGGGGAUAUUGCACAAUGGGGGAAACCCUGAUGCAGCGACGCCGCGUGUGGGAAGACGGUCCUCUGGAUUGUAAACCACUGUCCCCAGGGACGAAAAUGACGGUACCUGAAGAAGAAGCCCCGGCUAACUACGUGCCAGCAGCCGCGGUAAUACGUAGGGGGCAAGCGUUAUCCGGAUUUACUGGGUGUAAAGGGGGCGCAGACGGCGAUGUAAGCCAGGAGUGAAAGCCCGGGGCCCAACCCCGGGACUGCUCUUGGAACUGCGUGGCUAGAGUGCAGGAGGGGCAGGCGGAAUUCCUGGUGUAGCGGUGAAAUGCGUAGAUAUCAGGAGGAACACCGGUGGCGAAGGCGGCCUGCUGGACUGCAACUGACGUUGAGGCCCGAAAGCGUGGGGAGCAAACAGGAUUAGAUACCCCUGUAGUC
rnacentral:rRNA from 1 species